rnacentral:rRNA from 1 species
UACGAAGGGGGCUAGCGUUGCUCGGAAUUACUGGGCGUAAAGGGUGCGUAGGCGGAUAGUUUAGUCAGAGGUGAAAGCCCAGGGCUCAACCUUGGAAUUGCCUUUGAUACUGGCUAUCUUGAGUAUGGGAGAGGUGUGUGGAACUCCGAGUGUAGAGGUGAAAUUCGUAGAUAUUCGGAAGAACACCAGUGGCGAAGGCGACACACUGGCCCAUUACUGACGCUGAGGCUCGAAAGCGUGGGGAGCAAACAGG